GGAGCCCAACUUCAACGGCUGGCAAAAUCAUCAUACAAGGUUGAAGCCCAAGCUGCUGGUAUGCUAUCUUUUAUAUUUUAGAAAAUCACCAAAAAGCAACUUCUGAUAAAUAAUACCAUCAUAGAAAAAUAUUCAUAUUUUUCCCGUGCACAAGUCAUAUUUUAAACACUUAAAGAAAAUUUAACACAAUUUGCUCUCUUGUCUUUUUUUAAUUAUUGUUCUUUUUCUUCUUCUUUAAAAUAGGAUUUCCUUCUAUACUUCUCCCUUGAAUGAAUGGUCAUUUUGGUCCGUGAAAAAAAUUGAUCGACGUUUAAAUUGUCCAAAUCUGACGUCAGGAUUAACUUGAUUACACAUUCAAAAACUUGUUAACGUAUUUUCUUCUUUCAGAGACUAAGUUGAUUAUUCACUCUUCUCCCUUUCAUAUUUGUUUGGGAAUGUGUAAUGAUAUCUAUGGAUGUCGUUUUGGAAUUUACUUCGUCUUAUCAUGCUGUAGAUUUAAUAGACAGGCUGCGGCAUAUACCUAGUCGUGAAGCACUGACACUUCGAGCUGAGGCAAGGCUAUGACUUUAUCUGUUUUUCUGUGUUUCCCAUAAGUCCAGUUAUGUUACAUUACUUACUGUUUGUUUGCUUUGUCUCCACUACAAACACGUGAUCAGGUUGCCUCUUUGGCUUCAACAUUGAAGCGGCAGAGAUCUGCGAUGGAUAAACGGAUAAUGAAGAUCUCCGAGUUAGGGAUUGCUGUGUGAAGUUUUGGACCUUCUCAAUAUGCACACCCAUCUUAGUCAUACUCAUUUUCUUGAAUAAAUGUUGGGGCAUCCGCAUACAACUAUAUACUUGUAAUGCAGACCCAUCUACUGGGCGGAUUUUUUUUUUCUUUAGUAAAUUCAGUGAAUAGGUGUAACUGGAAAAUGUUUUUUUUUUUUUUUUUUUUACUUUAGUAAAUUCAGCAAAUGAGUACACGAUAAAAUGCCACACUUACAUGAGAAUACACAUCAUUAAUAUGGCAAAUAUGCCAAUAAAAUACAUAUAUGAUGCAUCACAAGACUUACCUAAUGUUUAACUCAACAAAGACGAAACCAGGAUUUAUUUUUUCUCCUGGAACGUAAAUAUGAAUGUCAUUUAGGUAAGUAUAUGGGGCCUAUUUAUCAAUCUAGAUCUCCUUUAAACUCCUACAAGUACGUCCUAGACCAUUGUGCGAUAUUCAAGUAAGUAGGUAUACUUUUAAGUUAAUAUAUGUUUUUUGGAAUGUUUCUUGCUACCACCUCACAUCUAUCAUGUCACCUUUAAAUUUAAAAAAUCUGAAAAUACUCUUAAAUAUUAAAUAUGAUAGAGUUAUAUAUGUAUUUAAAUUUAUAAUUCUUGGAGUUGAAAUUUGGGUUCUCAUUCAAUAAUAGACUUAGCUUAUUUCCUCUGUAACCAAAAAAAAAAAAAGACUUAGCUUGCUUACUACACUAACACUUUAUUGAUUAUUCACACAACUCCUCUAAUCCAUGAUGCCUAUAAAAAAAAAAAACACAACUCCUCUAACUUGCACUAAAAACCCACAUUCAUUCAUGCUAUCUUUAAAUUUGAAAAUCCAAAAAUACCCUUACAAAAAUUUCUGCUCACACUUUUAAAAUGCGUUAUGUACGUACUUUGAAAGUUAUGCAUGCACUUUAAAGUGCAUUAUGUACGAACUUUAAAAUGUGAGCACACCGGUUAAUGUUAAGUUUGUAACUCUUGCAACUUGUGUAACUCUCAAUUUCUUAUAAACACAUGUUAAACAUUAUUUUUACUGUUAAUUUCUAUGCUUCAUCAGAUGCCAUAUAUAGGGGUUCAUGUGUCUCUCUUUCUCACACAAUUCUAUUAUGCUUUUCUACUAUGCUUUCUUUUAGUUUCUUCUUCCUUGGGUACAAUGUAUGAGGCUGGGUUCCUUGUAUUUCAUUCUCAACAUUAGCACGUAUGUCAUGUCUGAUGUUGGAUAUUCCGAUUCAGAUAUGCAAACGUGCUAUUGUAGGUGUUCAAUAUCCUUUUUCAGAUAUGACAAACGUUUGAGUAACGUGCGACUCAGCCCAUAAAUGUGAAAGUAGGGGUGCAACCCAAUGAAGAAAAUGAGUAAGUAAUUAAAAGUUGUAUGUGAAUAUUUUAUGUGGUUGUUAGAGUAUUUUCCAUAUCUUCUAUAUGGUUAUGGUGAAAUGUCAUAGUCAUAAUUUUUUUUACUAUUGAGUUUUCCCACUAUGCUUUGGAGUCUGCGUUCAAACUGAGUAGUCCGAUAACGAUCACAAUGUGGAUCUGGACACUUUUAAAGAGUCAAUGUAUCUAUACCUUUUCAAGGGUUUUGUUUUGUAUAUAAUGAUAUUUGAUACAAUUUUGAAGUGAUGUAAAUAAUUGAAAUAUAAGAAUUUAUUUGUAAGAUUUUAUUUUGCAUAGUUUUUAUGAUGGAUUAAUCUCAAAUUGGUCCAUAUCUUUGUCUCGCCGUCUGACCUAGGUCCCUCAACGGAAAAAUUAUUGAAAAAGUUCAUCUUCUUUGUAAAUCGUUUGAAGCAAGUCCUCGUCGGAGCGAUAAUUUAGCAUGCUAAUUGUGUUAGUGAAACUUACAUAAAUUUAAAAAAAAUAAAAUAAAAUUACACAUCAUAAAUUAAAUUAAAUUAACAAAAUUAAAUUACAUUAAGAACCCAUAUUAACCCCAAUUCUAAAUCCCUAAAUACACCAACACUUUAUUGAUACUUACUCACACAACUCCUAUAACUUGCACUAAAAAUAAGAGAAGAGUGUAAUAAAAUCAGAAGUAACCUCAUUAUAGUUCAUUUCACUUGUACGGGUACACUAUUUAAUGUCGACGCUGAAGUUAACCUCCAGGUAUAAGUCAUUCCAAACUUGCACAUACAUACAGUAAUUAAGUAAUUACCACCACCAAUACAAUCCCCGCAGCUCAAAACAAAUUGACUUUGUAGCGGUGAAAAUAAAGAUCACAUCAAAUGGAUCUGCGAACAAUAGCCUCGCCUUAUGUGCUCACAUCGGGAAUUACGUCAUCGUACUCCUUCUACUACUACUAGCUCCAGUCAUUCAUUCACACAUUCACUCAUUCAUUCAUUCCACUCCCGAUUCCGAUUCCGAACGAAACCCUUGGAUUCGGCGAUGCCGCUUUAUUGUUAACAAUCAGAUCUAGAUAACUUCAUUGAGUAGCGGCGCGGCGGAGAUGGAGGGGAAUUCCGGCGGUGGUGGUGGUGGCGGAAGCGGCGGUGGAGGUUCUGAUGUGGAGCUUCUGUGCAAGACGUUGCAGGUGGAGCACAAGCUGUUCUACUUCGAUCUGAAGGAGAAUCCUCGCGGUCGCUACCUCAAGAUUUCGGAGAAGACUUCUGCUACGAGGUCCACCAUCAUCGUUCCGUUCUCCGGCAUUUCCUGGUUUCUCGAUCUCUUCAAUUACUAUGUUAACUCUGACGAUCAAGACCUCUUCAGUAAGGAACUGCAGCUUGACACCAAGGUAACUCAACCCACCCUCACUCUUCAAUUCAGCUCCAAAGAUUUCAAUCUCACCACAUUGAUUGUAGUGUUUUUAUCAAAUUGAUUUGUUAGAGAUGCAUAAUUGUUGCCAAAUUUAGAGUAAACAAUCAAUUUUCAUUUGCAGGACUCAGGUAGUAAGUAGUAUACAAAAGUAUGAAUUUGGUAACAAUUUCGCUUAAUUGCACCUCCGAUUGCUCGUUCGCGAUUCGCUUUAAGUGGGGACCAAAAGUGCAAUUAAGCCUAACGAUUUUGUAUCUUUGACCGACUAAUUUGAUGAAAAGCAUUCAUUUGAUGGAGGCCAAACUGACAGAUUUUUCCUUUUGUUUUUCAGGUUUUUUACUUCGACAUUGGGGAGAAUAGGAGGGGCCGCUUCUUAAAGGUACUUGUUACUUGAAUUAGGUUUAAUAUGCUUUUUAUGUUUGUUGGUUUGAUGACUAUUGUUCUUGACUUUAUUUUUUCCACAUAGACAUGUCAGAGUUUUGCAGUGGUAUGUUUCUGUAUUGCUGCAGAGGGAAGGUCAAAACAUCUAGGAUUUGUAGAGUUUACAAUUGGUGGUUUUAGGCUUUUAGCAUGCAUGUUUUUUCAUGAGCUAUAAGGAAAUUUAGUUAAUGGCAUUGAAGGUGUUGUGAUCAACCAAACCCUGGUAUGAAAAGGUGGAAAAUGAAUAGCAGGUUUUACCAUUUCAACUUGUUUAUCAGUUGGAAAGAGCCUGAUAUAUAUAACAGGUUAGGGAUAUUAAUAACCUUAGGAUUUGAAUGAAGAUUUUCUUUUUCUUUUUUAAAUCAAAACUAGGAAUGUGAAACAAAAAUGUAAAUGUGUGGUAAUUGAUUGGGCUGCUGCUUGUUAGACAUUCCUAAAUAGUUGCUUGAAUGCAUAAUACUACUUUAAGCUCUUGGAAUUACACACUCUUCCUGGUCAAUGGUUUAUAUGCAAGCAUUUUGCUCUGCAGAUUUUUUUGUAGAAUUAUUUUGGUAAUGGUGGAAACAAAGUGCUUGCAUAUAAACAUUGUGGAUUUGUAUGGCUUGAACUCUGAAAGUAAAGGCCUGAUUACAAUGAGAAAAAGAGAACCUUAUGGAAGUGAGCUUUAUCUGUAAAAAUCAUGCCUUGGCAGAUUUCUGAUUUAUCUUAGCAUUGACUUCUGAAGCUUAGUUUUUAGAUGUUUGACUGAAUCUCUUAAGGUUGCAAAAAGCUGUAUCUUGUUUUGCAUCUAUUUGGGCUUACCUAAUUUUAUUGUGGAAUUUCUAUCUUAGGAUGAAUAUUUUAUGUAUGUUUUUUUUGUGUGUCAAGAUUAUGAUUCUAAUUUAUUUUUGAAGGUGUCGGAGGCUUCUGUAAGCAGAAACCGUAGCACUAUAAUUGUUCCUGCAGGAAGCUCCAGGGACGAAGGGUGGGCUGCAUUCAGAAACAUUUUGGCAGAGAUUAAUGAGGCAUCAAGGCUUUUCAUUAUGCCCAAUCAGGUUUCCUUAAUUUGCAUGUAGACAUUUUUUGUAGUUCCAAUUUAUCUUCUAGGAUCUGUUUAAUGUCAUCUAAUUGUUUGUAUUGCACAGCAGCAAAAUUCUGAAUCCUCAGAGCGUCUUGUCGGACUUUCGGAUGAUGUUGGUGCUGGCUUCAUAUCUGGUCAUAGUACACAACCUGCAACCUCUUCUGAAUUGAAUGUGGACAGGUCUGUUGAUUUACCAGCUCAGGAUGAAAUUGGAAACUUGGGGGUCUCAAAAGUUAUCAGGGCUGAUCAAAAAAGAUUCUUCUUUGAUCUUGGGAGCAAUAACAGGGGUCAUUUCUUAAGAAUAUCUGAGGUUUGUUGCCAUUGUCUUAUUGUCCUUUACCCUUUAUUAUGUUUUAGUGUUCGAAUAUGACUUUCUGCUUUAAAUUCUUGUUAUUUCAUUGCAGGUUGCAGGUUCUGAUCGUUCCUCCAUCAUCCUUCCUCUGUCAGGGCUCAAGCAGUUUCAUGAGAUCGUUGGUCACUUUGUUGAAAUCACCAAGGACCGAAUCGAGGGAAUGGCAGUUGCAAAUGUCCGCACAGUUGAUCCCCCUCAAAGAUGAGUGCUAACAUAUGGGGUUUUCUGUGACAACAAGUAGUCACUCUCGGCCAAGGUUUCGUUAGGGAAUGGGUGUUAUCGCUGUAUCUGAUUGUGCUAUUUUUAUUUUUAUUUUUCCUCAGCCUUCUCCUUCUCAUGUCAUCUUCAAUUAAUGCUUUUGAAAUAAUCCAAACACUGGUUGGUUGGUUAGCAGAAUAAAUGGAAUAUCUUGGCAAGGUCAAUAUGAAUAGGAAAUAACAAAAGAGAAAUGAACCAGAGACUUGUAUUUGUUUGGAUAGUUUGGCACCCGGUCUAUAUGUUGUAAUAAUGAUUGUUUAAUUAUUUUGCUUUGCUGCACAGUUUUCACAUGGAUUUAAAGUUCUCAUACAGGCUGAGGUAUCAACCACCAUGCGUACCAUAUUUUUAGGUUCGAUGAUUGGCUUCCUCCUUGCUUAAACUUAGCUUUCAUAGUUUUACCAUCAUUUAUCUGUUUUUUUUUGUCAAUUCAUUUAUCUGUUUCUUGUGUAUCUAAACUUGGGCCAAAACUAUUUGGACCAUCCUCAUUUACUAUCCACACCAUCCUUUUGAGCAAAAAUACAAUUAUACCCCCAGACUUAAAAAAAACUGAAUCAAUCAAACAGGAAAAGAAAACUUCUCCCCACACCAUCUCCCUCUCUCACGGUUUCUCUCUUUCUCUCGGCCCUUUCAUUCUCAACUUUCCCAAAUGAAAAAAAAAAAAAAACCGUAGCCACCACCCUGAUCUUUGUUGGAGAAGGAAGGAAGGAGGAAGAAGGAUCUUGAAGAAGUUGGAGAAGGAAGCAAGAAGAAGAAGCAAAGGAACAAGAAAGAGGAAGAAGAGGAAGAAGGAGAAGUCAAACAUCAUCUUGACAAAAUCGCUUGGUUUCCCGAUCUGUUUCAAUACACAAUUUAAAUUGCGGUAGCUUUAUGCUUACGGCAAUUUAAAUUGGGGUAGUACUAUGUUCCUCUGUUUUUCUGUUCCUUGAUAUCCUUUGGGUUUUUGAAUCGCAAAAUCGGGUUGUGUUCGUGAGCCUUGGACAGAACAUAAGAGAAAUCGAUUUCUAAAACCUUCUGUUAAAUUCAAAACCUGCCUGCUAUGUUCCACUGUUGGAUCCGCAAUUAAAAUUGCGAUAGCUUUAUCCUUUCCGUCAUUUUAAUUGCAGUAGUGCUAUGUUUCUGAUUGUUUGAUCUGCAAUUAAAAUUGAGUAAACUACCGCAAUUUAAAUUGAGUAAACUACCACAAUUAAAAUUGAGUGAACUACCGCAAUUUUAAUUGAGUAAACUACCGCAAUUUAAAUUGCGGUACCUAUAAAAUGUCCGCAGUUUAAAUUGCGGUACGAACCAGAACCCAGAUUUUCACGAAAAACGGUAAAAUUUCAAAAAUGACACCUUUUUUGAGCUUCUAUUCUUCUCUUUAUCUCACCCUUUGACGUUUACACUGACUUGAAGCUUCAAAUACCUCUAAAGUGUGUGAUAUGUUGAUUUAGAAUAUGAAAUAGGGAUAUGGGGAAGGUGAGAGUGGAAGAGGAAGAAGGAAGAAGGAAGAAGGAAGAAGGAAGAAGGAAGAAGAAAUGGGGUUGGGAGAGUAUUUUUUUCCCUGCUUUUAAUGUUUUAUACGUUGGGGGUGCUUUUAGGAUUAAAAAAAUAAGGGAUGGUGUGGAUAGUAAUUGGGGAUGGUCCAGAACCCAGAUUUAUAAGUCACUUUUAUCUAAUUAUCUAGAAUUAAGAAAAGUAGUUGCUAGCAAUAAAUUAGUAAAAAAAUUUAUCAACUUUCCUAGAUUGCCCCAUAAAUUUCUCUCUCCAAAUUUAUUUUCUUCAAAGUCACACCAUCUCUUUCAUACUCCCUCUGUUCCUAUUUAUCUGUCCAGGUAGAGAAGGUUCACACAAAUUAAGGAAAGCAAUUAAUUGUGUUGAUUUUCAUAAAAGUAUUAUUUGUUUUCCUAUAUCACCCUUUAGAAUGUAUUUUAUCUUUCUUCAUUUAUUGUUUCUGUAAGGGCAUUUAUUGGAAAAACAUCAAUUAAUGCUCUCUUGAAACUCUAAGUGGACAGAUAUAUAGGAACGCAAUUUUUUCUUCAAAGUGGACAGUUAAUAAGGAACGGAGGGAGUAAUAAAUAUGAGGGUAAUUUUGGAAAAGGGAAUUAAAUGAUGCAUUGGUCUUAUAAAGUGACUUAUAUUUUAGGAUAAAAAAAACUCUAAAAAUGUGACUUAUAAAUGAGGACGGAGGGAGUAACUCAUUUCUCUAUCUUCUCUUCAUAUUUAUCAAAGGUGGAAGUGGAAAAGAAUUGUAAACACAACAUCAUUCAAUUAGUGGAGAGGACGAGUUGAGGAGUUUUGAUUUUGUGUGUGUGUGUGCAGUGAGCGUAAUCGAUAGAAGCAGGUAAAAAUAAUGGUCCAAAUUUCGACUUUUUUCAGGAGUCCAUAUUAGAUAAACCCCUAAAAUAAAUUAAGGUAAAAUAUGGAUUACACAUAAUGUUUCACUAAUUUUCAUAUUCAUUUUAGGUGUCUAAAGUCUCUGCAAAUGUGAGGAAAGUCCUUUAAGUGGAGCUUCCGGGUGCACAAUUGCCUUGGUGUCGUCGUGCUUAGGUAGUUUAUCUCGACCUUGCGUAAGACUGCACCACCACUUUUCUAGUUUAUAUGAGGUGGUCCGUGACUGAACCAGGUUACGUUGGCCGCUUUUAUGGUGCUUGCUUAAGAGCAAGCCCUGGUGGGCCGACCCAAUGUCGUCAACUAUUAUUUUGAUUUUUGUUUUCAUUGGCGCCGUCUUUCUAGACAUUCGUGCCGACCAUACUGUUUUCUACAUUCAUAUACUUCGUUGAGGGCCUACGAAACUCAUAUAUGUCUUGCGGUGACGUCUUGGCUGGUGAAGUAUGGAAAUACGUUCUCACUCUUAUUGCUUCAUAUAUCAGAUGAAGCUUCACCUUCAGGUCCAAACUUGUAAUGAGUGUCGCUUCUAUGUAGAAUUUCCUUAGGAAGUCUUGCAACGACUCCUUAUUUCCUUGCUUUAGUUUUUCUAAGGUAUGUGAGAUUUUAGGUAGACCUUUGCUUGUAAUGAAGUGGUGAGCGAAUUGUUGAUAAAAAAAUUUCCAACUUCUUAUUGUCUCAGUUUGGAUGAAGAGACUAGUACAAUAAGAAGAAAGUUGCGCCGUGAAUCACCCACUGCAUUGAAAGUAAAAAGUUUGACAGAUUUUCGGUGUAAUUCACUGUCGGGUUUGCUUCCCAAUAUUAACACAGCUUGUUUACACGGAUUUUUGGUAAACAAAUAUCCUCUUAGUUCGACUAAAGGAAGUUUAGAUUCGGGGUCCUUUUGAGAAAACGCUUUGCCAAAGUGUAGUGUGUGAACGAGUGUAUUCUCGACAAUAAUAAACAACUCAAACGAAACUGGACUUUAUUGAGUAUGAGUCGAUUACAAAACAGUCAAGCAAACUUAAAAUAGCAUGAAAGCAAAUUUCGACAAAACAAGUUACACAUAAGAACUGGGAAUUAACAAACUGAAAUACAAGGAAAUUAAAGCGUUGGUUCUGCAAUAUACUCCUCCAUCAUCACGUUCUGCUCUCGAAGUCUCAUUGAUGCGGACGUUUGGAGCUUUUGGUGAAUUUUCAGAGUUUUUAGUUGGGAACCCUUUCUUCUGCUGCUGCUUCCUCUAUUUAUACUGUUCUUUCUGCCCAUGUUCUUGGCGGUUUUACUUGGAUGCACGAUGGCUUCGUGGGUUUUGAAUUUUGGCGCCAUACCCCACGUUUAGCCGAUGGUCUUCGCGCACGUGACUCUAUUGCCACGUGGAUGGUUCUGAGUCGCGGGCAACCGUUGCUAUUCGUGGCAUCGUGGGUGUACGCACGUGCUUGUAAUCGCUUGUUAUUCGGUAACUGCCCCUUCCAUUAAGAUGAUCGAGAUUUCUUCAUCUUCUGAGUGUGUCGAGUUAUGGCUUUUACUAACUUGUCUUUGAGGGACAUCGUGUGCUGAGUUGCCGGCUUCGCCCAACCCCUUCUGUCGAGAAACCACUUUUUGCACCAUGGUGUCGAUAAUUGUAAUGCUUGUAAUUUUGGCUUAACAGUUGCCCCCGAAAAAUGUUGGUUGUCGACUGCUUUAGCUCAAAGACACCAAGCAUUUUUUCUUAUCGCAGCCGUUCGAUUCCAACGAUUCAAAUGCUUUGUGCUCUCGACCCUUUGAUCUUCAAGUCCAAUCGGCAGCCAUAACGUCUGAUGACUUCUCCACUAGCUGACAGUUAUAGCCUUUUUAGGGCCAUGAUUUCACCUAUGCCAAAAAGCUGAGAGGUGACAUGAAUUAACUAAUAAAAUAAUCGCUUGGAACCCAAAAUUUUUAUAAAUUGCUGCUCAAUGCGGCUUGGGUUCCGUUUUCCCUUCCGUUUAUAAAUACCCUCUUGGUAUUCCUUGUUCAAGCUUUACUCUUUCAUCCAACCUGCAACUUCUUCUUCCAGACUUCAUCACUUCAUCUUCUUCCGUCUUCUCUGAAAUACUUGCUGCGUCUUUCAAUGGCUUCCAAUCCUGAGCAAACCAUUCCGUUGGCCACCGAGCUUAAGCUGGAUGAGUCCAAGCGCGUGCCAAUCCCAGAACCUCCCAACGAAGCAAAGAAGAGAGCUAUCUGGAAAUCCCAGGUACUCAUUCCUUUCUCUGUUAAUGGUACUUUACGCGCCAUUUUGGGCCCUUUGAAAGUAGUGAAGCAUGAUAGGCCCAAUAGUCUCCCUGAAGAACAUGAAUCAUUUCACCCUAGCGUUAGGGGAGAGGAGCUCAUUUUGGCAUUUCAACCCUCUUACCGUAUGCCAUUUCUUUCUGACCCAAAACGAGCCUUUCGUUCAGCCCCUCCUAACCCUUCUGCUAACGACAAGGCCUACCUGAAAUGGUUAGAUAGAGUUGAGGGAGAUAAGAGACAACACUGGAAGGAUGUAGGGAUUUUCGACUUGAUUCAGUUGUCGAGAUCUCCAAUCUCGUAUAACCCUGCUAUGCUGUUGAGUGCACUUUAUUUCUGGGAGAGGUCCACUAAUUGCCUUCAUGUUCCCUUUGGUAUGAUCACCCCCACCCUCUUGGAUGUUGCUGCUAUCACCGGAUUGUGGCCCAUUGGUGAUGAUUAUCACUCUGCACCUGCUCCUGUUAAACCCAUCUCGAUCCCUACUGACAACGUUUCUUUUAGUCGAUUCAUUAAGGACCAUUAUGUCGAGAGUGGUGAGGUGUCUGAUGCUGAACAUGUCGCUUUCUUGCUGUAUUGGCUGUCUGCUUAUGUCUUUUGCACCAAAUCUUUGCGCAUACCUGCCAAGCUUUUGCCUUUAGCCAAUCUGCUUCAUGAGGGUCGACAACUUGCUAUGGCUAGGCUCGUCCUUGGCAACCUGUAUCAAAUGCUGAAUGAAGCUGUCGAGGAUAUCCGGAACACUAAGACCGUCUCUCUGAAUGCGGCUGGACCACUUUAGCUGUUUCAACUUUGGUUGAAUGCAGUCUUCGAAUCGCUUCUGCCGGUACAAGAUAAUCCUCUAACUGUUUCUAACACCAGGAUUGAUGCCCAUAGGCUCGAGACCCUGACCCCUGCUUAUGAUGCGUCGAGUACUUUACCAUGUUUCUCGAGCUGAAACACUACCGUUCCAGUUUCUCUCCUUACAGCAAGGCUAUUCGUGGCCCUUUCUGGCUGAGGAAUUCUUAUCCUAAUGCCUCUGAUUCUGCGCUGCCCAAGGAGCACCACAUCACACUUUGGAGGACCCUCUUAUCUCCUAGGGUUUUAACUGUGGGCUUUGCUAGCAGUGACUACACUCUAUGUGGCUACAACCCUCAAUUGGUUUCUCGACAGUUUGGGCUUAGCCAAGUUCUACCCAACACUUUAUUUGACAAGAGUCUAGUCCUGUACCCCGGAACUAUUAAGAGGGUUUCUGUUUUCGACAAGACUGUUCAAUUUUAUAACAAGAGACUCCUCAACCUGAGCCCCUUCACUUACGCUCCUUCAUAUUAUGCCACUAAUGCUUUCAAAGCCUGGUGGUCUGAGUAUUGGGCUCAAAUUUCGAAGCCCCUCGUCGAUUGUCUGCAAUGCAUGACAGAUACUUUUCUUUUGCAGAAGCAGGAUCCGAAGAAGACCAAAGGUAUGCACCUGGCAGAAAUUCGAUCUUUUCAAGAGUUCUUUGGUGUGGUAUAUUACCCAACUCUUCGCCUUCGAGAUACAGUUGCGCAAGCAGCUCAAGUAUUAAGGCAAAAAUGGGAACUUAAAGCCAAGAAAUCCAAGUUAGUGGUUCCUCCUGGUGAGGAAGGUCUAUCUUUUGUUAUUCGAAAAACUGGCUUUAGGUUCCCGUCUUUGCCUACGAGUAAGUUUGCAUUGGCUUUUCCACCGAUCUUGCCUAAAUGGGUUGAUCAUGUAAACAUAAAUGUAUUGGCCAAUCAAGCUCUACCUCCUCGAAAGCGAGUGACUUGGACUAAGUACCACCUAUGGAACUUUCCGUAUCAUGUGCCCGUCGAAAUCUUCAACCACAUAUCGCUGAACAUGCGUAUUGGUCAAGGUAAUACUUCGACUUGGCCUUGGUUUUCCUGUUUUACUUCUUAAUUUUUCUUUUGUUUGCAGCUGAAGUCAUUAUUUGACCAGCUCCUCAAGUUAUUUCCCCAGUGGCUCAUUCCUCCAAGGACCAGCCAGUCGUGAUCGAGGAUGAUGAUGAUGAUGAUGAGGAUGAUGAUGUCAGUCUUGCUGACAAGCUCAAGGUACUUUCCUCAUGCUUUUACCUUUUCCUUUUCGAUUUCCUUGGAUUAUGGGCUGACGUAUGUUUCGACAGAGUCGGAAACGGAAACCUAAGCCUGUUGCUUCGGCCAGUCAGAAGAGGGCCAAGGGGGUUGGUGUUUCCACCCCUAGUGGGGCUUCUAAGUUGGCAUCUGAUGCCCAAACAGAAGUCGCUGACAAAGAGGGUGGUGGCGACGCCGCCAUUCAGGUAUGUUCUCCAUUCUCGAGGGUACCUUGUGAUAUUUUUAACCCGUGGUUUCCUAAUCUGAGUCAUCUCUUGUUUGUUUUGUUUCCUUUAGACUGAUGUUCAUGAGCACUCUACUUCCAAUCCUCCAUCCCGUGAGAAUUCCCCAGCUCCCAUUCCUGCAAGAUCCAAAACUGAAGGUGUCGAGAAACCUCCCAAGGCCGCAUCCUCAGCUAAAAAGACCUCCACAUCUAAGGGAAGGAGGAAGGUCAGGAGCAAAUCUCGUCAUAAGUCUCCUCGCCGUUCCAGAAGCUCCACCAACUCGAGCCCUUCUAAAGACUCUGCUUGCCAGGUAUCUUUAUACUUUUCAUGUUUUAUUGACUCCUCUAAUAUACGUUUUACUUUAUCGAAAGGGCAUUAAAGAGGUUUUUCUUGCAGGAGACUCAGGGUGCAACUUCUCCCAUCCGCGAAACAGAGCCUCUUCCAGGCAAGGAUGAUAGCCCUAUGCCUCCUCCAAUAUCGACUGCCACUGUGCAACAUUCGCCUAAAAUCAAGGGUGGCUCUUCAUCUCAUGUGUCUAGUGAAAAGCUCGACACUUUAUUUGAGGAGGACCCGCUGGCAGCUUUGGAUAGCUUCCUCGAUGGCACCUUGGAAUGGGACUCUCCACCCCGUCAAGCUGAUGCUACUGCUGAGACUGCUCAAUCAAGUGGGGUAGCCAAUUCUCAGCAGAUCGAGGAGAGUAUGGGUCGGCUGAAGGCUAUUGUCUUCGCCAAUGGGUUUCUCGACCAGAUCCAAGCUGAUCCUCAAGCGAGCCAUGCUGCUAAGGAAUUGCUUGUCUUCCUUCUUGGCCAAAAACUCGAUUCUCAACAGGUUGCUGCUUUGGCUAACCUUCAAUCUUUUUUAGUGGAUGCUUCAGCCACCUUUCAUCAAAUCAAGGAUGUUGGUCAAGCUGUCAGCUUUAAGGAGGCAAAAGUCUCUGCUGGUAAAGCUCAAGUUGCAGCAAUGAAAGAGGACUUCAAGAAGUUCACUGCUAGGAAGGUUUUGAUCGCAGAUGAAAUCUCUGAAGUCGACAUCAAACUUGAAGAACUGCAUCGAGAGAUUACCAAACUGGAGAAAAAGCGAGCUGAUUUGGUCGAGGAAGGCCCUGCUGUAAAGGAUCAGUUGGACGUGCUUACUAAAGACUCCAAGGCUCUGAUCAUCUCGACAAAAGAGGUUAUCAAGGAAUUGGAGAUUGAUCAGGCUGUGAAGAAGGGUCUCGAUGCCAAGAUUGCCACCUUUGCUGAUUGUUUGAACUCUUUUAAGACCCUGCUGUAGGACUCUUUUUUGUUUAUUAAUAUGUAAUGAUGGCACUAUUCUAACCAUGGCCUUCGAUGCCAAUUGCGUGUAAUAUUUCGACAAUGGUUUUGGCACCUAAGCCAUAUAAUUUGACGUUUAAUUUGCCAAGUCUUUUCAGUUUCCACUACGCAUUUAUUUUGACGGCUAUUCAUUUAUUGUUGCAUCGCUCAAACUUCCUUGCACCCCCUCACACAGUCGUCGCUUUGUUUCUGGGGAAUGAACCAAUUUAUUGCAAUCUUAUACCACGUUUUCUUGAUUCAAUGCAAGUCUUUGUUCAUUAAAAGCCAAAGCUAUUCACGAUGGUGGUGGUAAUCUGCAUGGCCUGUAACCGUAAGAUGAAGAUUUGGCAACUGAUUGCCACUAAUUAAUGCAUUCCUUGGUUGUUACCCUAUAAAUAGAGCGUUUUUGGUUACUCCUUUUCAGUAACUUCUCCAAACUCUCCCUUGUUUCUUUUCCAGAAUUCUUUUCCUGCUUUCAUAAAUCCCUUCAGCCAUGGCUAGCCGUCGUGUUCUCAACCAGAUCCGGAACUUGGCUUUUGAUCAAGACUUAUUCUGGGAGUUGCACUCUUUCCUCCCUUUGGCUGAAGAGCUUACGGGGCUCAUUAACCAACUUCUUUCGAGGAAUAUUAUUGCCUCGGUAAGAAUUCCUCUUCAGGAGUUCUUGAGCCUCCUGCAUGAAGCUGUACCUCUAUAUGAAGAACACCGGGAGCUUACUGCUCGAGUGUUCUUUGCUGAACACCAGAUUGAUGAGAAGAUGGAGGAGUUUGAGGAGUUGAAGGCUGCUCUUAGCCAGGCGAACCUCGAGGGGAGUGUGGGAGCUCUGAAACCCUUGGUGGACAAGCUUUCUUCUACUGCCCGUGAAGAGCUGGAUAUUCGACAGGAGAAAUCGCGACUGGAAUCCCAACAAGAAGAUGUCUUGAGGCGCAUAGAGCCUCUUAGGGCCAGAUACAAUAGUUGUAGGGCCAACCCUCCUUUUUAAAAUUUCUUUGCCAUAGUUGUAAUGCUCUAUUCUAUUCAAUAAAACAUUCGCAUUUGGCAAUUUAUUCUCUUUUACUUCUUUAUUCGAUGUUUAUCUCAUGCAAUGUUGGCUUAUACGUUUUUAAAUAUUUGCCAUUUAUCGUCAUUUGUCGAUUACCUCCUAAUUCCUUAAUCGAAUAAGCGUUGUUUAAAAGUACUUUCUCGACUGAAAAAGGGCCUUCCCAGUUUGGGGACCAUUUUCCGUAACGUUUAUCUUUUUUAUCAAUUGGUAAGACGACCUUCCAUACGUAAUCACCAAGCAUAAAAGAUUUAGCUCUAACCUUUUUGUUAUAAGCUUUAGCAAUGCGAUCCUUUUGCCUGGUUAAGGUAUCCAACACCAAUAAUCUUUCUUCGUCGAGAUUGACUAAUUCGUCAAGCAUCAUACUCCAAUAAUCUUCACUUGGAAUUUCCUCUUGCCUUUGAAUUCUGCAUGACUGUAAAUAUACUUCUACUGGUAGUACCGCUUCUUGACCAUAUGCUAGUCGAAAAGGCGUUGCUCCGGUAGAUUCCUUAGGUGAAUUCCUGUAAGCCCAAAGCACUUGGCCUAACGUUUGAUGCCAGUUUUUAGGUUUUCGACCAACAUGUUUUUUAAUCAAGGAGAUCAACGUUUUGUUGGCCGCUUCGACUUGACCAUUCGCUUGAGCAUAAUAGGGGGUCGAGGUUAGGAGUUUUAUACCCCAAGAUUCUGCGAAUGAUGCUACCUUUUGGCCUACAAACACUGUGCCUUGGUCUGUAGUCAGUGACUCAGGUAGCCCAAAGCGGUACACUAUGUGAUUCUGAAUGAACUCGAUCACCGUGUCCUGGGUCACAUUUUGUAGAGGAAUUGCCUCUACCCACUUGGUAAAGUAAUCUAUAGCCACUAUGAUGUACUUAUGCUGCCUAGAAGAACAUGGGUUAAUUUCGCCAAUUAGGUCUAAAGCCCAACCCCUGAAUGGCCAAGGCUUAAUGAUCGAGUGUAGUUCACUUGCUGGCACAUGUUGUAUCCCCGCGUGUCUCUGACAAUCUUGGCACCUCUUGGCAUACUCCAUACAAUCUUUCAUAAUAGUAGGCCAAUACAUCCCUUGUCGAAAUAGGAUCCAUUUCAUCUUGAUUCCUGCCUGGUGGGCACCACAUAGCCCGUCGUGAACGGCUGAGAUCGCUAUGAACGCGUCGUCUUCACUUAAACACUUCAGUAGUGUUCCGUCGACGUUUUUCUUGAAUAGCUCGUUUCCCAUGAUGACAUAGCUCAUUGCCCUGUAUUUUGUCUUUCUAUCUGUAGUACCCACAGGAUUUUGCAAGUAAUCGACAAUUGGCUUUCUCCAAUCAUUAGGUGCCAUAUUGUCAAUGACCAGGAUGUCGAGGUUAGAGGGGUUUAGUUUUUCUUUGACCUCGAUAAGCUCUUUUAACCUACAUUUAUCGACCGUAUAUCCUGACGCGAUUUGUGCUAAUUCAUUGGCUUCUUGAUUGUCCACUCUGGAGACGUGACCUAGCCUAGCUUCGUCGAAUUUGGCCAACAAAUUGCUAGCUUUCGUGUAAUACCUAGCUAGAUUUUCACUAAUGCACUUGUAUUCCUUGGUAAGUUGCUUUAUUACCAACUCAGAGUCCCCUUUUACGACGACAUUCUUUGCCCCGAGGGCUAUCAGGAUCUCGAGGCCUGAUGUUAAUGCCUCAUACUCAGCCUCAUUGUUUGAGCAGUUACUCUUAAUCCUAAACUUGAAUUUCGUGGGGAUGCCCCUUGGGGAUACGAUGAACAUCCCGAUCCCAGUGCCAUUUUUAUGGCUAGAACCGUCGAAAAAUAGCUCCCAAGGUUGGAUGCCUACGUAAGUUAUGAUUUCUUGAGGCAAAGUAUGGUCUGCCAGGAAGUCAGCAAUUGCUUGUCCCUUAACCGCCUUCAGUGGGGCAUAAGUUAGUGAAUACUCGGUUAGGGCUAAAGCCCAUUUACCAAUUCGACUAUGCAAGAUAGGUUUGGAUAACAUGUGCUUUAUUAUAUCAUAAUGAGAAAAAACCAUUACAUCGAUUGGCUUUAUAUAAUAUUUCAGCUUUACACAAGAGAAGUACAAGCAUAAACACAAUUUCUCGAUCAUGGUGUAUCGAGUUUCUGCAUCAUUUAACACCCUGCUUAAGUAAAAUAUGGCUCUUUCUUUGCUAUCUUCAUCUUCUUGAGCCAACAUGCUUCCGAUGGUUCCAUCCGUGGCAGAGAUGUACAGCUUCAUUGGCUUUCCUCUUAUAGGUGGUGCCAUUAUAGGUGGGCUAGACAAGUACACUCUGAGUUCAUCGAACGCUUUUUGAUGCUCUGCUUCCCAGCGGAACGCAUCUUCCUUUUUAAGUCGAAGAAGUGGGGAAAAUGACUUGGUCUUCUCACUGAGGUUAGCAAUGAAUCUCCUUAGGAAGUUAAUCUUUCCCAAUAGUGAUUGCAGUUGUUUCUUGCUGGUUGGUGGACUAGUGUCGAGAAUGGCUUUAGCUUUGUUCUUGUUGAUCUCGAUGCCCUUUUUAUGCACCAAAAAACCCAAAAAAUCACCUGCAAUAACACCAAAGGCACAUUUAAGGGGAUUCAUCUUCAAGCCAUAUUUUCUCAUCCUCUCAAAGGAUUUCCUUAGAUGCAACAAAUGGUCAUCCCUUGAUGGGGAUUUCACCACGAUGUCAUCAAUAUAAACCUGCAUGAAGGUUUCUAUAAAAUCAUGAAAAAUGGUAUUGAUUACCCUUUGGUAGGUCGCGCCAGCGUUUUUCAACCCAAAUGGCAUGACCACCCAUUCGUAUGUCCCCAAGGCACUAGGACAUCGAAAAGCUGUUUUCGACACGUCCUCUUCUGCUAUGAAGAUUUGGUUGUAGCCUGAGUAACCAUCCAACAAGCUUAAGUAUUCGUGACCAGCAGCUGAGUCCACCAUCAUCUCAGCAAUGGGCAUGUGAUACUCGUCUUUUGGAGUGGCAGCGUUAAGAUCUCGGAAAUCUAUGCAAACUCUCAUCUUUCCAUUCUUCUUGAUUACUGGAACCACGUUGGCUAACCAGUCCACAUAUCGAGCUGUUCUGAUAAAUUUACACCUGAGGAGUCUUUCAAUUUCUUCCUUGAUUUUCACCAACACAUCUGGAUGGAACCUCCUGGGCAAUUGUUUGACUGGUUUCUUGUCUUCUUUGAUGGGCAACUUCAAUUCCACCACUUCUCGACUGAGGCCAGGCAUUUCAUCGUAAUCCCAAGCAAAACAGUCUUUGAAUUCCUUGAGUAAUUUCACCAUCCUGUCUUUUAGCUCCGGGUCAAUGAGAGCACUGAUGUACGUUGGCCUCUUUUCUAAGCCAUCACCCAGGUUCACUUCUUCUAAAGGGUCUUGCGCUUCCAUUUUCUUGGAAAAAUCGACCACUGGCUUCUCGAAGCCCAAUGCGCCGUCAUCAUAAAUGCAAUCUAGCCUCAGGUUGCAAAGGUCCUCGAAUCCACAUUCCUCGGCACUCCGCUCGUUUUCUUCUAUGCACGUGUCAUCCUUAUUUGUUGUUGCCUCCUCCUGAGGUGUUAAUUCGACGGGCAGGAUUGAGGCAUUGGUUUCGUCAGUAGCCAUUUCUUUGGCUAUUCUUGCGGCCUCUAAGGCCGUCCUUAUUCUUUUUUCGGCUGCGUAAGCCGAAAUUCGAGCUAGGCUCGAGUUAAUCAUCUUUAACCUCAUUUUGCCACUCAGUUGUGGCAUCCUUUUCUUCAUCGCUGUGCCAUCCACUCAUGGCAUCAGGUUUGUAUGCUUCAUUGAGGUUUAGGCCCCAGAUGGGAUCCAGCGUUACUGAGUACUCUGAGUAGGGGUUGAAGUAUUGGCUAGCCACUGUGUCUAAAGGAGCAAUUGUGGCUAAACUCUUCUCGAAAUUCUUCUUACCAACGUAGCUUGUUUCUGCUAAAUAGUAGCUUUGAUCUGCUUGUACAUUUUCGACAACUCCAUCAGCUUUCCAAAUGGAUAUACGUUGGUGUAAGGUCGAAGGCACUGCCCCCACGCCAUGAAUCCAUUCUCUUCCCAGCAGCAAAUUGUAAUUGGCCUUUGAAGGGACCACAAUGAACAAUGUGGAACGGGCUACUGUUCCUACGGUUAUGUUCAACAUAAUUGCCCCUAGGGAAGAACCUGUCUUUCCUUCAUAAUCAGAAAGCACCAUGUCAUGUGAGAUUAGAUCCGCUUCAGUUUUACCUAACUUCUUAAGCAUAAAUCCGGGCAUGAGGUUGAUUGCAGCUCCCCCGUCGACAAGGACUUUGUUAACACCCUUCUCCUCGACUCUGGCCCAAACAAAGAGCGGUUUCAAAUGGCUCUUCAUUUGCUCGGUUGGCCUUUGGAAGAUAGCUCUUUCAUCUUCGACAGAUCCUCUCUGCAUCACAUAAUAACACAAAGGAUUGUCAUCUGGUUCGUCGUCGACAUAGUAGUCUUCCUCGCUUUCAGUGACCUCUGAAAUUCUAUCAAAUUCUGCAGGUAGGAUAGACACGAUGCAGAUGAUGUUAAGCUCUUCUCCAUCACUGUCGUCGAAAUCUUCGAGCAUGUCUUCAUCCUCAUCCUCGACAACAUCCUUCCCUUUUUUCUUAGCUGGAUUUGGUGGUACGGUUGUUCCCUGUUUGAUGGCGUGGUCCAGCUGGUUGAUAAUCGACGCCACACUAGGUUCAUUGCGAGAGUUGUCUUCUGGCUUUAUGUCCCAUAGUGAACGGAACUUGCCACCUCUUUCCCUCUCAGCUUUCCUUUUCCUCAAAAAACGCCUGAACUGAGUCCUGGUCAUUUGUUCAGGAGCAUAGUAGUUCCCAGAGCCAUAGGAGUAGCUUCGUGACACACGGGAAUUGUUGAUGUAAGAGGAUCCCUGGCCUAAGUCGAUUUUCUGCCACUUAGGGUAUGGUUUUGGCCUUGGAGGCGUUGGCCUGAACCAUUGGUUUCUUGGCAAUCCAGCAUUGGGGAGGUAAGUUUUGUCUUUAUUGCUUGCUUUCUGGCCUUUAUGGCCAUCGAGUUCCUGGUCUCUCUCGACCCACUCCUCGUGAGGGUACUUCAAUCUCCUGGAUACAGGAGCCUUUCUCUGAUAAUGCCUUUUCAUUUCUGAAUCUUGAUAGGCCUUGGCUGCGGAUUUGUCGAAAACAGCGCUGCAUCGAGGGCACAGCAUAACUUCUUUCUCGCCAUCUUUGCUGCGGGAUAGAAACUCGACAAGGGUUUCUCCAGCCUUGGGGUAAACCUCUUCCAAGUUCACUUCCUUCACGACGUCUGGUUCUUCGACAGCCGUGUUUUCCUCCUUUGCCUCCUCGAGUGUCAGGCCCAGAUUCAGCUUCUCGGAAAUGUCGACCAUGCCAAUGUAGAAAGGUUCCACGUAGUUGGCUUCAGCUACCUGCAGUGGGUCGGAAUCAAUCUUCAUUUGACUUUUGGUUUUUUCGUCAUACUUGAGCCUUCCUGAGUCCAAUGCCCCCUGCACAAGGUCCCUGAAACGAACACAUUGUGAGGUCCAAUGACCAAAAAAGUUGUGAUAUUUGCAAUAUUUCUUCCCUUUCCUUUGUUCAGGAGAAGGAAGUUUUUGGUCUUUAGGGACCACAAGCAAACCAUCAGACACAAGUAUAUCAUAGAUUGCAUCGCAUUUGGCCACAUCAAAAGUAUAAGUUUUCACAGCAGGAAUCGUGUUCUUGGGGUUUUCCUCCCCAAGUUUGUUUUCACGUGGUUUCAAUGCUUUACAAACAUAAGGAUCCCCUGGCUGAAGUUCAGCCAGAUUGACGUCAUUCAAAUCGACGUCCGCCGGGACUUCUCGAUAGACACAUGGACUCUGACCUACUGAAUCCGCGUCUAUGUACGCUACCUUCUCCUUCUUUGGCCACUUGGUAGUCUUGGCCCUUUCCUCUGACUUUUCGGCCUUUAGCAAUUCGAUGUGCCUCACUCUAUCUGCGAGUAAAGACAUAUCUCGAAUAUACUGAGUGUCGAUUUUCUUUCUAAUGGAAUAUUCUAGACCACCAGCGGCUAAGACAACUAGCUCGUGUUCAGGGACAUGGGUGAAACAUCGGGAUUUAAGCAUCCUAAACCUGUUUAGGUAAUCAUCAAUAGACUCCGCUGGCUUUCUUUUAACACUAGCCAGGUCCUUCAAACUUACUUUGCACUCUCCCCUAAAGAACUGUUCAUGGAAAAUUCUUUCCAACUGGGCCCAUGUAUGGACUGACCUAGGAGCGAGGGUGGUGAACUAGGUAAAUGCAUUUUUGGUUAAAGAACUCGGGAAGUACUUCAUUUUUAAAUUUUCAUUGAUGGCUAAGUCUCCUGCUUCGAUUUGGUACCUGGCUAUGUGUUCUACCGUGGACUCUCCUGAAUCCCCCGAGAACUUAGUGAAUUUGGGGACCUUCCAGCCUCGAGAGAGUUCUGCUUCGAGAACCUCCUCUGUAAAGGCUGACACAAAAUGGGGUCUAUUCGCGAAACCCACGUUGAAACCAUGUUGGUUCAACAAUUGCUCCACCACAGCAGCAACAUUUUGUUGCCCCCCAGCGUUCUGGUGUCGAAUUCUUUCUAGCACACCAUCAGCGUGUUCUUCCCUGUUUACCAUAUACACAUUUUGCAAUGGCGGCUGCACUGCCUCGUACAAAGGGUUUGCCCUCAUCUCUUGGUGUUGCGGCGCCUGAUAGCGCACCGGGGCAGGGAUAUGGUUAGGCAACGGGAUUUGGUUAAUCCCUGGUGCCGGUUGGAUUUCGACUGGUGCCCCCAGGGCUGUCGCCAAACGAUCCAUCUGUCGUUCCAAAUGCUGAUUAUUGGCAUUAUUAUUUUGGAGCACAGGGUUGAUUAGCUCACCUAUCUGUCGAGAUAGCAUAUUAACCAUUUCAUGGUUACUAUCAUCUACUUGCUGCCUAAUGGCUUGAAGUGAACCAUUAUUCAUACCUGUAGAUAAAUAAAUUUGUGAACUAGAUCCAGGAAUAGAAGGGCUAACUCGACUCCCCAAAUUUAGCAUUGUUCCAUUUGCCCCAAAAGGGGGUAUGCCGAAUGGAGGAACAUUUUCAGGGAACGUCGAAUACGUGCCUUGUAUGCCUUGCAUUAUAGACGUAGGCAUACUAUAAGGCAUGUUUUCCCUCGUAACUGUUGGAACAAUUUGUGCCUGUACUGAUGUAGAUACAGGCAUUUCUGCAACUGCAGAAAUUGCUACAUUCUGGGUUGGCAUAGUGGUGCCAUGCCCCAUUCCAGUAGACACUUCUUCAUUAUUGUUACCGCUACUUCCCCCAGGGCUACUCUGAUUACCCACGUUAGAUCCUUGGGGGGAGGUUCUUCCUCGAUUACUUGCCAUACUCAAAGUCUUACCACUUCUCAGGUGCAUAUAAAUCACAAUCAAGGCAAGUAGCAAAUACCAAAUAGCAUGCAGCAAACAAAACACACAAAACGCUUCUGUAAAACUUAGUUUUCACAAAAACGGUCCCACUGGGCGUGCCAAUUUGUUUACACGGAUUUUUGGUAAACAAAUAUCCUCUUAGUUCGACUAAAGGAAGUUUAGAUUCGGGGUCCUUUUGAGAAAACGCUUUGCCAAAGUGUAGUGUGUGAACGAGUGUAUUCUCGACAAUAAUAAACAACUCAAACGAAACUGGACUUUAUUGAGUAUGAGUCGAUUACAAAACAGUCAAGCAAACUUAAAAUAGCAUGAAAGCAAAUUUCGACAAAACAAGUUACACAUAAGAACUGGGAAUUAACAAACUGAAAUACAAGGAAAUUAAAGCGUUGGUUCUGCAACAUACUCCUCCAUCAUCACGUUCUGCUCUCGAAGUCUCAUUGAUGCGGACGUUUGGAGCUUUUGGUGAAUUUUCAGAGUUUUUAGUUGGGAACCCUUUCUUCUGCUGCUGCUUCCUCUAUUUAUACUGUUCUUUCUGCCCAUGUUCUUGGCGGUUUUACUUGGAUGCACGAUGGCUUCGUGGGUUUUGAAUUUUGGCGCCAUACCCCACGUUUAGCCGAUGGUCUUCGCGCACGUGACUCUAUUGCCACGUGGAUGGUUCUGAGUCGCGGGCAACCGUUGCUAUUCGUGGCAUCGUGGGUGUACGCACGUGCUUGUAAUCGCUUGUUAUUCGGUAACUGCCCCUUCCAUUAAGAUGAUCGAGAUUUCUUCAUCUUCUGAGUGUGUCGAGUUAUGGCUUUUACUAACUUGUCUUUGAGGGACAUCGUGUGCUGAGUUGCCGGCUUCGCCCAACCCCUUCUGUCGAGAAACCACUUUUUGCACCAUGGUGUCGAUAAUUGUAAUGCUUGUAAUUUUGGCUUAACACAGCUGCACACAAGAUACUGUGUACUCAAAACCUAAACGUGCUAAAACCUCUACAAUAAUGUUUAGAAUUUCGGAAAAGAUCAAGAAGACUAAUUUUCCUUCAUAUAUAUCAUGUUCUACGAGUUCACCUUCUUAAAAAGUUCACCAAUCCUUUUUACCUUCUACUAACUCUUUUCUUUUCCAUGAAAACCAUAAUAAUACUAAUAUUAAAUGUCAAUUAAAACCGUAACAGAUUUAAUUGCUAUUGGAUUGUACAACCGUGGAAAAAGAUUUAAUGUGAACUGAAGAAUUUAAAACCAAUAUAUGUUUUAAUUGGGUAGGUGGAAAAACCUGUCGAAAAAAAACUGGCAUGCCAUUAAUUCUUACAGUAUGCUCAAAUUACUUGUUUCAAUUUUGUCAUGUUUGUUAUGGAGUGUGAUAGACCGCUUAAAUUGCCGCGAGAGCGGGGAAUGUCCAAACGUAAACAGAGAGAGGUUUUUUUUCAAGGUUUUGUUUGCCACCUGUUGAAAUGACAAAGAGAGCUAAUGAAAAGUUCCAAACAAUAGAAAGUCAAAAAACAAUGAGUGGUGGAGCUAGACGCAAGGUGCACCAAAGAGAAAACCUCGGCAGGACGAAGCUCACAUGACUGAAAAUAGGUGAGACAAUGGGAUAUAAAAAGGGAGAAAUCAUGUAAGUGCAAGAGGCAGAAGAAGAGAAACAAUCUAUCUUCUUCCAAAUAAAAAAUAAAGGAAGGAGAUAGGAAAGGGUUGAAAAGGAUAAAAAAAAAAUUACAUUAGAUACAUUGUUGGCUGAAGGAAAAAAAUUCAAAAAAAUGGCUCGUGGAGCGAUUAUUGCAUCCAUGCUCUGCCUUCUGGCUGUAGCAGUGGUGGCUGAAGACCCUUAUAUCUAUUACACAUGGAAUGUGACCUACGGUACCAUUUCACCUCUUGGAAUCCCCCAACAGGGUAUCCUCAUCAAUGGUUUGUUCCCAGGACCUGAAAUCAACUCCACCAGCAACAACAACAUUGUCAUCAACGUGUUCAACAACCUUGACGAGCCAUUGUUGUUCACAUGGAGCGGUAUCCAGCAGAGGAAAAACUCAUGGCAAGAUGGUACAUUGGGAACUCAGUGCCCCAUCCAGCCAGGAACCAACUACACAUACAAGUUCCAGGUCAAGGACCAGAUCGGUAGCUACUUCUACUACCCCUACACCGGCCUCCAGAGAGCCGCCGGUGGAAUCGGUGGUUUGAGAAUCUACUCCAGGUUGUUGAUCCCUGUCCCAUAUGCUGACCCUGCUGAUGAAUACUGGGUCCUCAUGGGUGACUGGUACGCCAAGCCCCACACCACCCUCCAGAAGUUUUUGGACAGUGGUCGUAGCCUUGGAAGGCCAGAUGGCGUCCACAUCAUGGGUAAAAAUGGUAGCCCAGUCCCACUCUACACCAUGGAGCCUGGAAAGACCUACAAGUACAGGCUCUGCAAUGUGGGUAUGAAGGACUCCCUUAACUUCAGAAUCCAAGGCCACCCAUUGAAGCUUGUUGAGAUGGAAGGCUCCCAUGUGGUGCAAAACGUCUACGACUCCCUCGACAUCCAUGUUGGUCAGUGCUACUCUGUCCUCGUGACUGCCGACCAGGAACCAAAACAAUACAAGAUGGUCGCCUCCACACGCUUCACCAAGAAGGUGUUGUCCGCCACCGCUCUCAUCACCUACUCUAACGGUAACGGUCCCGCCUCCCCUGAGCUCCCACCUGCACCUGAAGGCUGGGCCUGGUCCCUCAACCAGUUCCGUUCCUUCCGUUGGAACUUAACCGCUAGUGCUGCCAGGCCUAACCCUCAAGGCUCUUACCACUACGGCCAGAUCAACAUCACCCGAACCAUCAAGCUCGUGAACACCGUCUCUAGGGCUAACGGAAAACUCCGAUACGGAAUCAACGGUGUGUCCCACGUUGACAACGAAACCCCACUCAAGCUCGCCGAGUACUUCGGUGUUGCUGACAAGGUUUUCAAGUACAACAUCAUCUCCGAUGAGCCCCCGGCAACCAUCGGUGACCUCACCUUGGCUCCCAAUGUCAUUAACGCCACUUUCCGUACCUUCAUCGAGAUCAUCUUCGAGAACCCCACAAAGGUUGUUCAGUCAUACAACUUGGAUGGUUACUCCUUCUUCCUUGCCGCAGUUGAGCCAGGGAAAUGGACACCCGAGAAGAGGAAGAACUACAACCUUUUAGAUACAGUGAGCAGGCACACCGUUCAGAUAUACCCCAAGUCAUGGGCAGCAAUCAUGCUUACAUUCGACAACGCUGGCAUGUGGAACUUGAGGUCAGAGCACACCGAGAACCGCUACCUUGGUCAACAAUUGUACAUCAGUGUCUUGUCUCCUGAACGCUCUCUCAGGGAUGAGUACAACAUUCCAGAAACCCAGCUCCUUUGCGGCAUCGUCAAGGAUAUGCCCAAGCCCGCACCCUACUCUUAAGCAUUUAUCAACCUGCAUUAAGACGAUGUAUUAGCUUUAUUUUGUAGCUGAUGUAUCCACCGACCCUUUCCUGAAUGCCACAAAUUUUCAGCUCCAUAUGUAUACACAUAUAUAAUAUGAAUGUCAAAUUCUCCUUCCAAUCCACUUCUAUGUGGGUUUUGUCAUGGAAUAUGUACACACAUCAGUUCUUUCAUUAAUUUCAAGUGACGGAAAUUAAACUUUACUCAAGCUAGAGCUACUACGACCUGAGCUCACACCAUAAGCAGAAGGAUAUAUAAUUGAACUAACCAAAAGAACUAAAUAUUAAGAAGAAAUUAUUAGUCUGUUUGUGCUGGUUUGGGUGGGUUGUGCCCAGAGGCGGACCCAGAAAUUUUGUGACACCUGGGCAAAAUUUUCACAUCGUCUUGAAUAUUUGGAGGAUACUCAUUAAUUUGUUUCCUACGCCCUGGAUCACGCACAAUCUCAUUCGGAUGAAACUCAUUGACCACAUUAGGCGAUGGUUCUACUUCGGCUUCCGGUUGUACAACAUUCACAUUCUCAAUACUUGCUCUAGGAACCAAGAACUUCCUCAUCUCUAAAAUUUAAUGAUCUAAAGAAACAACAAAGAAAAGCACAAUUAGAAAUUAUGAUCAAAUUAAAAAAGCACUAAAAACAACACUAAUAAAUAAAAAUGAAAAGGAGACAAUCUAUAUUCACAUGAUUAGUAUAUUGGAUGUACAAAAAAUGGAAGAGAAGAGAUCAUGGACCACAAGCAAUUACCAAAUUUUGGACCACAAGCAAUUACUAAAUUGAAUUGAAUACAUUACACAUUAUACAAUAUACAUGGCAAAUGGCAAUUGUUGGCAAGUGGCAAACCGCAUCUCAUGACUCAUGUAAUCUGUCUCUCACACUUUUCUAACUUAUCCUUCACACACUCACAUAGUCACACAUGACACAUACAAUUAAUAUUUGAUUCAAGAAUACCAAACCCAACUCACUCACGCAUCUCUCACUCUCUGUCUCACUUUUCCCUUUUUUUUUUACCUUUUCUGCCUUAACCUUUCUCUCAGUCUCUCACUCAGUCUCUCUCACCGCUCACCUCCUCUCCUCUGUUCCUCUCGACAACGCCCACGCCACGCCUCACCCACACGACACGCAGGCCGCAACCGCGCCCUCACCCACACCGGCACACGCAGGCCGCAGCCACGCCCACGCCCUCACCACCCACCGCCUCAGGCGGCCCUCACCCACGCCCUCACACCACAGCCCACAGGUCUCACUCACGGCACACCCCCUCACAGAGUCACAAUAGGAUAUUGAGAUUUACAGAGCAAAUAAGUUUGAAGCUAGGAUGGAGAAAUCAGAGAGAAAGAGACCUGAUUCCUGAAGAUUGAAGCUUGAAGAGUAAGAGUACUCAGAGAGAAAUGAAGAUUGCUGAAGAUUGAAGGGAAGCCUGAAGAUUGAAGCCUGAAGAUUGAAGUCAAUUGAAGUCUGAGAAGGAAAUUGAAGCGUGAUUUGAAGCCUGAAGGGAGAAAGUGAGUAGGAAAUUGAGAAUAGGGUUUCUAUUUUAUUAUUUUCCCCUUUCUUUUCCCCUUUAUAAAAUAGUCCUCAAUUUUACCCCAACCUUUAAAUUUUGCCCUUUUUUAUUUUUUUUUUGAGGCCCAAAAGAUGAUGUGGUCCAAAGAAAAAAAUUUUUUUUUGGUCAGAGCUUGGGCAUUUGCCCUAGGUAGCCAGGCGCUCAAUCCGCCUCUGGUUGUGCCUAUAUACUAGCUAAUAUCGGCAUUUGUUUCGUUUUUUAUUUGUAUUUUCCCUUUGCUAAAUUUUGUACUUUGUUCGUGGGUUUGAAGUACCCUUUUACUUCCUUUAAUAAAAUGUUUCUAUAAAAAAAAAAAAGAAUAAUAGAGCGAUCAAAUGGAAAUGUAUAUGCUUAAUACGGAUUCAAAAUUCUAAACAUUCGUUCGUGGUGUAUAAAAUGCACUGUUUAUAAGUUAUUUUACAAUGAUGAGCCAUUAAAUUGUUUUCUAAUUUUUUCCCGAGUAAUGAUAUAUACACACCUCCUUAUUUAUACACUUCAUUUCCACCUAUUUUUAUUUCUAUCUCUCUCCUCUUAUCAUCUAUCAUAUCUUAUACUUUCUCUUUCUUACUUUUUAUUUUCUUCCUAUCUCUCUCCUCCUCCACCUCUUUCCACCUCAAUUUAGAGGUGUGGACAAAUAAUUAUUGAUUUUUUCCCUAUUGUGUUGUUUGGAUAUAUACAAUUGCAUACGUGUCAUGUGUACUUGUCAUUUUAUAGAUUUAAAUAUGUUUUUAUCAUGACUUAUAUACACUUAUAAUAUAAUACUAGUGUUUUUUUCCCGUGCGUUGCACGGAAAAUAUAUCUAUUGUUUUUUAUACAUCAAUUAAUCAUGAAUGUGAUUAUGCGAGUUCAUUUUCAGUUUUUUUUAAUUCUAAGUUAUUUAUGUUUUAAUUUUUUUAAAGUUGUUCUCAAUAUGUGUUCAGGGAACACGUGUCUACAAUAUCUUAGAUAAUUAGGGACAACCCUUUAAAAUUUAAUGGAUUAUAAUCUCAGCACUACAUAUUUUAUUUUCAAUCAUAUUGUAGAUCAUGAGAAAGAAUAAAAGGAGAAAUCAAAGGAUUCCUGUAAAUAUGCAGUAAAUUAGACUUGAGACUUUUCCAAAUUUAAAGAGAUAAUGAAAAUGGUUUCAAGAUUUGUUUUGGAAAUAAAUUUAGUAAGGAGUAAUCUAGGUUAUUCUUAGAUAAUUAGGGCAAAUCUUUAAAAAUUCGGUUUUAAGAUAAAAUAACACAACAGAAGAGAAACUAUCUAAUGGAAUGACACGUGAAUAUUUUUUUUAUGGGAAUUAACCUGAGAAUGACAAGUGAAUUUUUUUUUAUGAGAAUUAACAUGAGAAUGACAUGUCACUAAAUCAGCCUGAUAUAAGUUAUUCUUUUCUAUUGUAUAUAUAUUGGUUGAUGGUAUUCGAAAGAAAAAUCCUCUUUUUUCCCCUAAAUAAUUUUGUUUUAUUUAAAAUGGUUCCUCUAAUGUCAUAAUGCGAACAAAGGUUAUAGGAAAUUAAAGUUUGUGUGGGGAUAGACUGUAAGGAGCUUGUUUCUCUUGCGAUUGAUACUAACAGAGACAGAAUCCGAGUCCAUCCUCAAGCCUCCAUUAUCCGUGAUAUUAAGAUUCUCCUGGAUUUGGAUUGGCGGGUUGAGCUUUCCUGGAUUCCCAAUGAAGCCAAUGUUGCGGCUGAUUGCUUGACCUAACAGGGCGCUCAUUCAUCCCUUCCUGGGUUGCAUAUGGUGACUAAUGUUGCUCCUGAGUUAGACUGGUUGAUCCUUAAGGAUGCCUUAGUUGUUCCUUAGUUUGUUGUUGCUCUGUUGUCAUUUUUCCGAAGCACCAAAAAAAUAAUAAUGCUUAUUUGUCAUUUUUUAGUUGGGAUAAAUAUGUAUUUGGUUCUUAAACUAUAGCGAAUUAUUAUUAUUAGUCCCUGAAUUAAUUUUUCAUUGAAAUCCAUCCCUUAACUUGUUGGCGUGUGAGGUUUUGGUCCCUCGAGUCAUUUGAAUGAUUACGUAGCAUAGUGACGUGUAUGUAUUUUAUGAUGUGUUAUUUUUAGUCUAAAAUUUCAGUUCAAAUAUUUUGUGUGCUUUCUCCUUUGUGACAAUUUUAAGCACUUAAAAAUCAAGUCUUUAACCAUAAAAUUUUCCAUCUAUUUUCUCAACUUCUCUCCAAAUUUUCUUUUUAAGACUUUAUCACUAAUUGCAUAUUCAAUUAAACAUCAUUUUUAAGACAAGUUUUAGAAUAAAAAUAUUCUCCUUUUCCAUGCAUAGUCUCGCUCAUACAUUCCUAACUAUCAUGAUUGAUUAUCUUUAAAAUCAACUAACAGAAGGUAAAUCUAUGAUGAAAAAUAAUUCAAAGUUUAAAAACAAGACUUUAAUCAUUAAGAAAUUUCACAAGACUUAAACUUUAAGGAAUCAAAUUAGAGGUCUAGUAUGCUUUUGCAAAAUCGAAUAAGAAACCUCACUCUAUAUUGGAAUAGGCUUUUGCAAAAUCCAGUUUAACAAAAUGCCACCUUCAUCCAUUUUCUUCAACAAAUCAACUAUUUCAUUUGCUUUAUACAAUGCAAUUAGCUAUUUGCCUCUUUCUUUUUAUCUUGUUAUUGCUUCUUUUUGUUUCUUUAUGCUUUUGUGAGAUACUAUAUUCUUGACUCAUAGUUUUUUUUUUUUUUUUUGAAAUAAGAAUGAACUUUCAAUAAUACGGGAAAUCAGAACAAGCUACAUCCAUGAUGUUUGGAGGGACAUACCCCAUCGAAAUUGAAUCAGAAGAAGAACAAGCUAUAUUAGCAAGAAAAUGAGCAAGGUUAUUCUGUGUUCUAAAAACAUGAGAAACAGAAAAAAAACUCAAAACCAGAAACUAAGCUACAGCAAUCAUCAAUGAUAAGUUGGAGAUCUGGGGAAAGCUGUCCAGCCCGAAAACCACGCGCAACAACAAGGGAAUCUGUCUCAGCCAGAACUCUGGUAAAACCAUGAUGCACCAUGAGUGUGAAUGCCCACCUCAAAGCCAAGGCUUCAGCCAUAGAAAUACUUACCUCAACCUUACAUCUACUGCAAGCAGCCAUAACCACCAAACCAGUAUGAUCCCUAAGGACACACCCCAUACCGAGCCACCCUUCCUUGAUGCUGGCAUCAACAUUUAAUUUGAGUUUCCCUACAUCUGGAGGCUGCCAUCUUCUCAACUCUUUGGGUUUCUUCUGCCUUAUGUGCCCCUCAUUCCUUGAAAUGAACUCUCUAUCAAAAAGAGAAGCAACCUGAAAAGCUCUUACAGGAUCAGCAACCUUUCCUGAAAAACAUAAGUCAUUCCGAGCCUUCCAAAUGGACCAUAACACAUGACAAAUCAAGGACAAGUGGUCACAAUCAUUCAACCCCAACAGAUUUUGAAACCAAGAAACCACCUCAGCCGAAUUGAGAACACAGUGGGAUAAACCCGACCCAAACCAUACAGCCCUGGAAAAUUCACACUCAAGAAACAAAUGAUGCAAUGACUCAGAAGCACCACAACAAAGGGGACAAACAAUAUCCAGAGCAAUACCUUUUUUCACAAGAUUUUCCCUAGUAGGCAAAAUCCUAUUCAUCAAUUUCCAGAGAAAAAUUCUGAUUUUAUGAGGAACAUCAACCUUCCACAAAUCAUUCCAAGUUGAACAAGGAAGAAAAGAACUAGAAGCACCAGGGCCAGAACUUGAACAUGAACUGAGCAUUUGAUAGGCAGAUUUAACAGUGUAAUUCCCAUCAUUGGACCAAUGCCAAGCAAACUUGUCUUCAGGGAGCCUAAUCGAAAGAGGAAUUGAUAGAAUCUUAUCAGCCUCAAAACCCAUAAAGGAGGACUUAAUUAAGUCCUCAUUCCACCUUUUCUGCUCAAAAUCGAUAAGCAUACUGACCUUAGCAUCCUUAGGCAGAUCAAUUGCAGGACUCCAGACCUUAAACCCUGACUGAUUAGGCAACCAACCAUCCUGGAAAACUCUGACAGAUUUACCAUUCCCAAUAGUCCACCUAGAGCCUUUAGAAAUCACAUGCCUCGCAGCUAGAAUACUCCUCCAAGAAAAACUAGGAAGAUACCCCAACUUAGCAUCCAUAAAAGAAGUCCUUGGGUGGUAUCUACUCUUAAAAAUCUGAGCAACCAAAGAAUCAGCCCUGUUAAUCAGCCUCCAACAUUGCUUACCGAGUAUUGCAUCAUUAAAUUUUCUAAGGCACCUAAACCCCAAACCUCCAACAGCCUUUGAUCUCUUAAGCCUUUCCCAACUCAUCCAAUGAAUUCCUUUAUCCUUAGAAUUAUUUCCCCACCAAAACCUAGCCAUCAUACUCUCCAUAGCUGAAACACACCCUUCAGGAAGCUUAAAACAGCUCAUCACAUAGGUGGGAAUCGCUUGCGCAACAGACUUCAAUAAAACCUCCUUGCCCGCACUUGAUAAAUGCCUCUCCUUCCACCCCUUUAACCUCUUCCAUAUCCUAUCCUAGACUAGAGAGAACACCACUUUCUUUGAUCUCCCAAAAACAGUGGGAAGACCAAGAUAUCUAGAAUGAGAUUGAACAGUCUUGACACCCAUCCUUUGCUGGAUUGCAUUUCUAACAUCUACCGGCACAUUAUGACUGAAAGAAAUCUCAGAUUUAUCUAGAUUCACCAACUGUCCCGAUGCUCUCUGAUAAUCAUCAAGGAUGCUCAAAACAGAAUCAGCCUCUUUGAGAGAAGCACGAGCAAAAAGCAGACUGUCAUCAGCAAAUAGGAGGUGUGAAAUCACCGGGGCACCUCUUGCAAUCCUCAAUCCAUGAAUCUGCUGGUCUCUCAUCCUGGAAUUGAUUAAACAAGACAAGGCAUUAUCACAUUGGAUAAAGAGAUAGGGGAAAUCGGAUCCCCUUGUCUCAACCCUCUAGAGGGAACAAUUUUGCUGCUUGGAAAACCAUUGAACAGAAUUUGAUAAGACACCGAGGAUACACAAUCUAUGACCAGCUUAGUAAACCUGCUAGGGAACCCCAUAUGGACCAAAACACCCUUGAGAAAGCUCCACUCCAUCCUAUCAUAUGCCUUUGCCAUGUCGAGCUUCAAAGCCAUCAUUCCUUUUUUCCCUUUUUUCUUCUUCUUCUGUAAGAUCAAGUUUUGAUCUAGUAGUACAACUCUAUGUUUUGAUGAUUACAAGUUAACCUUUUGAUAUGAAUAAUUAUGGUACUCUAACGUGUUUUUCUGAGUGUGCUAUUUACAGGCUCUGACCUUGAUUCAGUCUCACAUAAAUCAGAAGCACUGUGCAUAAAGAGUGACCCAAGCAACGCUUUCGCAACAUCUAUGUUCACUCUGAACAGUAGAAAUGCUUCAGAAGAUCUGAAGUUAUACAAACUCUGAUAUGGACUCAGCCACCAGAAGUUCUGAAGAUCCAGAAGUUCUGACAACCAAGAAACUCUGAAGGUUCAGAUGUUCUGAUGGUGUAGAAGACUCUGAAGAUUCAGAAGCUGAACAGUGGAAACUCUGAUGUCCAGAAGCAAGAAACUCUAAAGACCAUGUACUUCCCUCUGAGUCCAGAAUCAGAAGAUACAACGGUCAGAGGAUCUGUGCUUUCCCUCUGACUCUGAUCAACCGGCUUCACAAGUUCCAACAUGAAGCAUUCCCCUGAUCAGAAGUCUCCUAGGUUUAAAGGUCAAGUCGCUAUCCAAGUACAAAAGCAAAUUGUACUAUCCUGACGACCUACCUAACAUCCUCAGCCACAGCAGAAGCUGGAAUUUCCAGAACUUCCCUCCAACGGUAGCAUUUCCAUGCAACGUUCAACCCUAAUCCUUGGAGUAUAAAUAGAGGCUGAAGAUUGAAAGAAGCGGCUAGAAGCAUUCAUACACGCGCAAGAAAUAUUCAAAUCCUUCUAAGCUUUCUUUCAUCUUGAAUUUCAUUGUGUUUACUAUAAGCUUUUUAGAAGCACCUUCUUUGUAGACAAGAACUUCAUAUACAGUUGUAUAGUUUGCCUUUAGGAGAUCAAGGUUGAUCGGAUCCUUGAGAAGACUAAGAGAGUGAAUCUUAGUGUGAGCUAAGUCAGUGUAUUGUUAGUCACUUGUAGGUUUCAAGUGCAGUUGUAACACAUACCUGAUUAGUGGAUUGCCUUCAUUCUAAGAAGGAAGAAAUCACCUUAACGGGUGGACUGGAUUAGCUUGAGUGAUUUAUCAAGUGAACCAGGAUAAAAUCCUUGUGUGCUUUUCUAUCUCUUAUCUUUAGCACAUAGUUUGUUUCGAAAGAUUUGCCAAAAUCUUUAAGGUGGAAGUUUUAUCUUGAAAACGUUAUUCAAACCCCCCCCCCCUUCUACCGUUUUUCAUACCUUCAUCUUCAACCAAUGGAAACACUCAAGGGUAAUCAAAGCAUUAUCGGUAAUGAGCCUACCCGGAAUAAAUGCACUUUGAGCUGGAUCAAUAAUCUUCGGCAACACCCCUUUGAUCCUAUUAGCCAUUGCUUUAGUGACUAUCUUCAUAACAACGUUGCACAAACUAAUGGGCCUAAACUCCUUCGGGAUGGAUGGCUUCUUACACUUAGGAAUAAGGGUAAUGAAAGUGGAAUUAAUACUUUCCGGACUCAAACCCUCAUUCAGAACAGCCAACACAUGCUUAACAACCGACGCACCAACAAUGUGCCAAUACUCUUGGAAGAACUUUGCUGGGAGACCAUCAGGCCCAGGGGCCUUGAGAGGAUGCAUUUGGAAUAUGGCCUUAACAACUUCAUCCUCCUGAAAAUCACUAUCAAUCAAAUCCACAUCCUGCUGCUCCAACUUGGUGUCAAUGGCCCUGCAAAUGUCAGGGGGUUCCUCCACCAUUUGGGAAGUGAAAAUAGAUGAGAAAUAACUGUUCAGAAUAGCAGAAACGUUCUCAGGCUUGUUGUACCACACACCAUCCUCUCCUUUCAGCUUUUUAAUGCUAUUCACCGCCUGCCUUUGAUUUGCUUUAGCAUGAAAAAACCCAGUAUUCCUGUCCCCAUCUUUUAACCACAUAGCUCUGCUCCGUUGCCUCCACAUAGUCUCUUCAAGCUGCAAAAGCAGCGAGUGUUCUUCUACCAUCUCCUUAAAUUUCGCCAGAUUUUCAGGUUUAUCAUCCCAAGAAGCAUCCUUCUGCAACUCACCCUCUAGAAAAAUGAUUCUCUUUCUGAAAUUUCCCACAGUGUAACCUCGAAAGGUAUUCUUAAGACCUUGAAUACUACCAAGCUUCUUAACAAAAUCAUCUCUUUGCCCAAUCCAAGCAUGGAAGAUCUCCUCCUCGCACCUUGGAUCCAAACACCACACCUCUUCAAACCUAAAAGGACGUUGUUGUCUUCUCAUAGGGACAUCCAUAAACUUCUCAAUGGAGACAGAAAUAACUGCAUGAUCUGAACCAUAUCUUCCCAAGUGCUGCACAGAACUAGCAGGAAAAAUCUGAGAAAAUACCUCAGUACAUAAAGCUCUGUCCAGCCUAGCCUGAAUAUUUGCAUCACCUGAUAUGCCAUUAGUCCACGUGAGAGGAUAGCCACUAAAGCCCAAAUCAACUAGCCCAAGAUCAUCCAUAACAUCCCUUCCCCUCUGCAACUGAGAAUCAGACCGCGAAAUACCACCUUUCUUCUCAUUGUUCGAGAUAACAUCAUUCAAGUCCCCAACCCCAAGCCACCUCAACCCCCCCCCCUCCUGAACUAGAGACCUGAUUAGAGACCAAGUCCUCUCCCUCAGCCUCGUACACGGGUAGCCAUAAAUCCCAGAAAAACACCAAGGGUCUUCAUCCUCAACUACAGAAACAGAGAUAUGAUUGUUUGAAAAAGAAAUGAGAGAAACAUUCAAAGAUUCAGACCACCACAAAGCUAGCCCCCAUUUUCUCCCCUUGCCAUUAUCAACACAAUCCACAACCAAAAAAUUCUUAAGACCAAAGUCCAACCUUAUUUUUUCAAUUUCAAACUUUUUCAACCUGGUUUCCAUCAAGAAAACCAAUUGAGGAAUCUCUUUUCUUACGAGCCUUUGCAAGGCCCUAACUUCCUGGGGACUCCCCAAACCCCGGCGGUUCCAGCUAAGGAGUUUCAUGGCUGUAGGCAAUGUUGGUCUCCCAACAUCGCCUCUAAAUGAGCAUCAGCCAUAUCCACAUCCAUCAUCAAUUUCUUGCUUAAGUGACCCCGAAAAGUCUCAUCAUCCACUUCCACAAUAUCCACAUCAAUCAGGCUUCUCUUCUUAUCUAAACAAGAGAGGACUUUGCAAUUGUCACAGCAGCCCUACUAGCAUCAAGUCUCUUCCAACCUCUCUCGGUAGUCACCUUCUUUUCACUAGAGCUCCCAACACAAAAAGAUAGCUCAGCCACAGGAGCACAAUUUUCCUUAACCUCAGAAUCUGAGCCCUGCUUUAGAACAACAUUACCAAGUGCCUCAAGCACAUCAUCCACUUGUUGGACCACCAUACCACACUCAACAGCAGAAUUUUCAGGGGAAACAUUUGUGAUAUCAGAUAGAACAUGACUAGACAUCCCACCCACAAGAAACUCCUUAGCAGGCCCAACAGAAACAACACUUGGGGCCUUAGCAUCAGCAGCAAGUUCACCUAUACUUCUUUCAGAAACAGGAACCACAGUAGAGUUCUCAAGAUCAGCAAAAGGAACUCUAUCAGCAGACACACCAGAAUUCUUAGUAUCUGAAGACACCUUAUCAACCAACAAGCACAAAUCAUUUUUCCUUUGAACAUCCUUAUGCCUGGUUACCACCUUGGAACCACCACAGCCAAACCUAACCACACCAACAUCAUCAGAACGACCCACGGAUCCCUCACCAGCCCUCCCCACACCAUCAAUAGCAGAACGAAAUAGGGACUCACAACCUUUAGACUUCAUAGGAUGAGCAACAUCCUCACCAAAAGGGGAAGCCCUCAACCAUGGCCCAAAAGGAAAGUCCACAGCAUCAUGAUCCUCCUCAACAUCCUCAAAUUCAUUACAAUCCUUGAUCUGAUGGCCUAUUCUUCCGCAAGCAAAGCAAAAAUUAGGAAGCCUCUCAUAUCUGAAAUAAACCUUAAGCUCCUUCCCUUGCCAAAACAACAUCGUACCCCUGAGAAGAGGCUUGGUAAGAUCAAUGGUAACCUUAAUCCUGAAGAAGAGGCCCAAACGGUUCUCAAGCUUACAAUCAACCUCCACAAAGCUACCAAUUGAAUCCCCCAACCUCCUGGCAACUGCUUCAGACUUCAAUUUCAGAGGGAGAUCAUAAACCCUCACCCACAUAUCCACAGAGGAGAGCUCAAUUUUAGAUGGCUGAUCUUCAUCACUGAAUUUCUUAAGCACCAAUAUACUACGAUCGAAACUCCAUGGACCCCCUUGGAUCACAGAUAUGAGAUCCUUUGAUGUAGCAAAUUGAAACAAGUACCGAUUCUUGGAGAUCUCAUUGAUUUCGACUGGAUGUCGCCACGCCGCCUUCAUAGUGUUCAUGAACGCCCUAACAUUGUGCGAACCUUCAGACCACAACUUCCCAGCCAGCAACCGAGAGGUAAGAUCAUCAUCUCUACACUCAUCCUCAUCGAUUGUAACACUGCUCUGGAUCUCAGAAGCAUUGAGAUCGAAAUUCCGAUGCAUCGUAGAACACAGGGAAACAAGGAGAAAACUACGAAGAGAGAAAAAACAGGAAAGAGACAGAGAAUCAAGGAGCGAACCAGAGAAUCAGAGAGCAAGAUGAAGAAGAAGAGCCUAGGGAGACCUAGGAGAAGACCACCAAGUCGGUGGAGAUCUUGACUCAUAGUUUGGUCUAGCCCUUACUGUAAUAUAAUUCUCUUUUAAUAUAGAGUUUGGGCUAGCUCUUUUAAUAUAAUUCUCUUUUUGGUUUUCCGAAAAAAAAAAGUGAAGGUAAAUUGGCCUCCAGAACCUUUAAGAUAAGCUUCUAUUCACUCCCAAUCAAACUGAUGGGCCUGAAGUCAAGCAUAGAUUGUGGAUAUUACGUUUCAGGAUUGCAGAGAUGAAAGGAGCAUUUAAAACCCUUACAAUUUUCCAAGACUCAUGGAAUUCAUGGAAGAAUUUGACCUCAUUAUUGAGAUUGAGAUUGAAUUUGUCCGGGCCGAAGCUUGAUUUCCAUCACGAUUUUUAUCACUCCCCAAAGUUUCAAAUUCUGAAAAGUUUGCUUCUAAACGAGCCUUAUCCCUGUGACUUAUCUUUGAAAGUUUGAGCAUCUGAGCUUGCAAUUGGGUCGCACCUUAUUUUCCCUUGAAAAAAAGGUUCUAAAUGAUUGAAAAUGGCCACCUCUGUUCAAAAAAAAGAAAAUGGCCACCUUAAUCGAUGUUGGAUCCUCAAUGUAUACCUCACCUACGUUCAAUUUCACUAUUCUUUUCUUUGCUUUCCUUCCUUCAACUAGCGUAUCCUAGCUUUUUGCCUCCACUUUUCAAAUCGUCACAACUCAACGACAUAAUUUAUCUGUCGCAACAUUCGGAACAGACUAUUACAUUUUUAUUUACGUCGUAUCAAAUAUUAUUAUUUCUGUAACCAACGGCGUCGCAAAAUUCAGGACGAAGCAUGAUAGUUUUAAUUCCGUCAUAACAAAAAAACAUUAUUUCUGUCAUCCAAUCGGUCGUAAAAAAAAUUUCUUCAAAAAUAUAAGUAUAUUCCGUCCCAAAAAAUUGAUUUCUUCCAUCGCACAUUAAUUAUUAAUUAAAUGAAUACUAUAAUUCAAUAUAUUAUGUCCUUAUUUCUGUCCCAAAAGCGCGACGAAGAAACAUUCUGUUCUAAAAACUUUGCGACGCACAAAAUCGCGAUGAAAUGUUUCAGUCGCACAUCCGUCCCAAAAUCAUUUAAGAAUAGAAAUUUUAACAAUCGUGUGACGAGGGCGGCGAUGUUCAACUUGAUUCCAGAGGAUUGGGGUGGUCACGUCACGCCUUGGGUCUCAGAGAUCAAACAGUACUUCAAUCGCCUCAAGAGUCUCCACUUUCGCCGAAUGAUUGUCACCAACUCCAGCAAGGAAACUCAUCCUUUUGGUACGAGAACUGGUUGGAAACUGGGGUCCUUUGUUCAUAAGUGCCUUUUGUGCACAUAAGUGACACAGCGUUGGCAGUUCGCGAUGUGUGAAAGACAAUGGCUGGAAGUUUGACUGUUUGUACACGGUGCUUCCAUCAGAGCUGAAGAAUAGGGUUCAAUCAACUGUAGGGCCAACGGGCGUGGAGCAUGUAGAUGCUUGGCGUUGGAAUGAGGAGCCUGAUGGUCAUUACACGUCCAGAUCCGCCUAUGCUUGGCUCAACCAUCGGGACAAUGAGGAGGGUGAACACCAGGUUUGGAUGCAACUGUUGAAAUUGAGGAUUCCGGGAAAAUGCAAAUUUAUGAUUUGGCUUGCGCUGCACCAAUCUUUGCCUGUGAAUGUGCACUGGCAUGCUUGCUCUCUUGCCACCAGCGCUGCGUGUGGUAGAUGCUCUACCCCAACGGAGGACAUUCUUCACUGUCUUCGUGAUUGUCCACACUCGAUGGAAGUUUGGACCAGGUUAGGCUAUGGAACCUUUGUGGGCUUCUUCUCACAAGACUCUUGGUCAUGGAUCCUGGCUAUUUUACGACAAGAAGAUACAGGGCGAAUUUUGUAUAUUUGAUGGUGGAUAUGGCGUUGGAGGAACAAUAUGGUGCUAGGGACAGAGAGAUGGGAAAUUGAAUAGGUGAUUUGCAAUGUGUGGCAGGACUCGAAAGACUCUAUGCUUGACACUGUCGUGGUGCACCAGUUCAGCACAAACAAAUCUUCUUGGGAGGCUCCUGAAAUAGGUUAGGUGAAGGUAAACGUUGAUGGUAGCCACCAUCGAGCAUCCUCUGGAAUAGCCUGCGGUGGUUUGAUUCAGGAUCACCAUGGAAAAUGGCUUCAAGGUUUUUCUGGUUUUGAAGGCCAGGGGGACGUGUACAUGGCAGAGCUUCUCGGAGUUCUCAGAGGCCUUCAGCUAGCGUGGCAUCAUGGUUACAGGAAGGUAGUUUGUGAAUCAGAUUCUUUGAGUGUGGUGCAAACCUUGUCGACAGGCAAAUCAGUAAACCUCCAUUCUUGUGCGGUGCUCUUGACAGAAAUUCAUUGUAUGCUUCUGGAGGAUUGGGAGGUGAUUUUCAAGCAUGUCUUGCGGGAUAAAAACAACGAAGCUGACACUCUAGAAAAGCUUGGCUUAGAGAAGAAGUGGAGGCUCACAACCUGGAAUUCCCCUCCCACUGAGCAUGUUCAGUUGGGAGGUCUAGUCUAAUUGUUUUUUCUUUUGUCUUUAUUUUCAUAAUCUACAAAAAAAAAAAACAUCAUAAUGUGAAUAUUUCCGCUCCUAUGAAUAAUGGAGUAUUAAUGGCACAAGUAACUUACUCGAAUUUUUGUAAUUUAGUUACUCUAAUAUGAAUGAUACAAAUGGUGGAUUUAUUUAUUUCCACUCUUCCCGCUUACCUCUAUAUCACUUUUGGUUCUUGCUUAAUGUUUCCACCGUUUCUACGGUAAACCUUUUAUGGAUUUAACAUUUGCUUUAUUGGUUAAUUUGUCCUUUUAAUGCAUUGAACAUUGGCUUUAUGGUUUGUAUCUGAAAGACUGAAACACAUUGAAAACCAAAAGGUUCCUUCUUUUGAAAUGGUUGCAUCUUUUAUAAAAGGAUAUCCAUGUUGAGUCGGAGAAGAUUUUGGAUUUUUCCAAUUAAGCAAGAUUUCAACAUGUAUAAAUUCUGAGUGUACAAUAUCUUGUAUGUGGCUAUGUUAUUGGAGAACAAACCUAACAUUAGAUUGCACUGGAGGUUUACCAUACUUUUACUUUCAAAAUAGUGAUUCGUCCACGGCGCAACUUUCCUCUUAUCUUCCAACAGAUGACACAUGUAAGAAUUGAAAUAGAACGCAAUUGUUUUUUCAAUCAAUUUUUUUUAUUGUUAUAGUUUUAAUAGAGCACAUGAAUAAAUUUAAAAUUUGACGAUUUAAUAAUAUCUAAUUAAUAUAUGUAAAUUCUGUGGCAUAGGUUAAUUUACUAGUUUUUAAAUAUAAGAAAGUAAUACACAAUUACAAGUGGCAUAGAUUUAAGAAAGUUCCAAUACCAUUUGAGGAGUUAAAUAAUUACGUUGAUGAAAAAAACAUAUACAAACUUAUUGUAGAUGGAUGGUUAGGCACUUGAUAAUCUCCUCUGGUUAGUUUUGUUCAAAAUAUAAGCAUUCUAACAAUAGCCAACGGGAAUGAGUUUCACAAGGAAAACGGGAAGAUGUAAGAGGAAGUACGCAUUCCAAGGAGCACCAGGAAAGGGAAGUGAGAGAUGAUAGCGGAGAGUUUGAGUGGUCAAGAGAUAGCAAUCCAAAUAUAUAUAAUAUGGUAAGAGGAUACGGAUGGUGUAAUGCUCUCUUCACACUAUAAAAUAGCAAAACGUCAUUGCUAGAAACAAAAGUACAAAUUUAAGGAGAAAAAGAAGAAGAUUAAGGAAAUGGACAUGGUACAAUUUUUGCUUUUGCUAUGCCUCUUAGUGGGGAUAACCUCAACGGUGCAUGGUGAAGACCCUUACUUCUAUUUCACAUGGAAAGUCACAUAUGGCACACUUUCCCCGGCGGGUGUCCCUCAACAGGUUAUUCUUAUCAAUGGUGAAUUUCCUGGACCCAACAUCAACUCGACCAGUAAUAACAACCUUGUUGUAAACGUCUUCAACCAACUUGAUGAGCCUCUCCUUUUCACAUGGUCUAGUACUUUCUCUAUUUUAUUAUGAACAAUUAAGAUUAAGAGUACCAAAACGGAAAAAUAUCACAUAAGCAUAUGAAUAACUUUGCUUUGCAGGGCGGGAGUCCAACAAAGGAAAAACUCAUGGCAAGAUGGGGUACCUGGAACUAACUGUCCCAUUGCUCCAGGAACAAACUGGACCUACAAGUUCCAGGUGAAGGACCAAAUAGGAAGCUACUUCUACUACCCAAGCUUGGGCUUGCAUAGGGCAGCUGGUGGAUUCGGUGGCCUACGCAUAAACAGUAGGUUACUUAUCCCUGUCCCCUAUGCAGAUCCUGAAGACGAUUACACUGUCCUCGUUGGCGACUGGUACACCAAGAGCCACUCUGCUCUCAAGAAAUUACUUGACAGCGGUCGCGCUCUUGGCAGGCCCCAAGCUGUUCUCAUCAACGGCCAAAAUGCCAAAGGAGACGGAACCGACAAGCCACUAUUCACAAUGAAGCCAGGAAAAACCUACAAAUAUAGAAUCUGCAAUGUGGGUCUGAAAAACUCCAUCAACUUCAGGGUCCAGCAACACUCCAUGUUACUCGUUGAAUUGGAAGGUUCCCACACCGUGCAAAACAGUUACGACUCACUUGACGUCCACGUCGGGCAGUGCUUUGGUGUCCUCAUAACUGCUGAUAAGGAACCGAAGGACUACUACAUGGUUGCCUCGACCAGGUUCACGAAAACUGUUUUGACCGGCAAAGGGAUCAUCCGCUAUACCAAUGGAAAGGGACCAGCUUCACCUGAACUCCCUGAGGCCCCUGUGGGCUGGGCCUGGUCUCUGAACCAGUACCGUUCCUUCCGUUGGAACCUCACUGCCAGCGCUGCCAGGCCUAACCCCCAGGGCUCUUACCAUUACGGCCAGAUAAACAUCACCCGCACUGUUAAGCUAAUUAACUCUGUCAGCAGGGACAAUGGGAAGCUCCGUUACGCGCUUAACGGAGUCUCCCACGUUGACCCAGAAACACCCAUCAAGCUCGCUGAGUAUUAUGGGAUUGGUGAGAAAUUUUUCAAGUACGACACCAUUCCAGAUAGCCCGCAAGGCCUUUCAAAUGCUGUCACCUUGCAAACCAAUGUUCUUAACUUCACCCAUCGCACCUUCAUCGAGAUCAUCUUCGAGAACCACGAAAAAAGUGUCCAGUCGUAUAAUUUGGCCGGCUACUCAUUCUUCUAUGUCGCG
rnacentral:lncRNA from 1 species